CAUCUCGCGUCAGGAUAUGCCCAGGUGGGAUUAGCUAGUUGGUGAGGUAAGGGCUCACCAAGGCGACGAUCCCUAGCUGGUCUGAGAGGAUGAUCAGCCACACUGGAACUGAGACACGGUCCAGACUCCUACGGGAGGCAGCAGUGGGGAAUAUUGCACAAUGGGCGCAAGCCUGAUGCAGCCAUGCCGCGUGUGUGAAGAAGGCCUUCGGGUUGUAAAGCACUUUCAGUCGUGAGGANAGGUAGUGUGUUUAAUAGAUGCAUUAUUUGACGUUAGCGACAGAAGAAGCACCGGCUAACUCCGUGCCAGCAGCCGCGGUAAUACGGAGGGUGCGAGCGUUAAUCGGAAUUACUGGGCGUAAAGCGCAUGCAGGUGGUGUGUUAAGUCAGAUGUGAAAGCCCGGGGCUCAACCUCGGAAUAGCAUUUGAAACUGGCAGACUAGAGUACUGUAGAGGGGGGUAGAAUUUCAGGUGUAGCGGUGAAUAUGCGUAGAGAUCUGAAGGAAUACCGGUGGCGAAGGCGGCCCCCUGGACAGAUACUGACANCUCAGAUGCGUAAAGCGUGGGGAGCAAACAG
rnacentral:rRNA from 1 species